AGGGUUCGAUUAUGGCUCAGGAUGAACGCUGGCGGCGUGCUUAACACAUGCAAGUCGAACGGGAUCCCAGGAGCUUGCUCCUGGGUGAGAGUGGCGAACGGGUGAGUAAUGCGUGACCGACCUGCCCCAUACACCGGAAUAGCUCCUGGAAACGGGUGGUAAUGCCGGAUGCUCCAGUUGGAUGCAUGUCCUUCUGGGAAAGAUUCUAUCGGUAUGGGAUGGGGUCGCGUCCUAUCAGCUUGAUGGCGGGGUAACGGCCCACCAUGGCUUCGACGGGUAGCCGGCCUGAGAGGGCGACCGGCCACAUUGGGACUGAGAUACGGCCCAG
rnacentral:rRNA from 1 species